UACGUAGGGGGCAAGCGUUGUCCGGAAUCAUUGGGCGUAAAGAGCUUGUAGGCGGUUUGUCGCGUCUGCUGUGAAAAUCCGGGGCUCAACCCCGGACUUGCAGUGGGUACGGGCAGACUAGAGUGUGGUAGGGGAGACUGGAAUUCCUGGUGUAGCGGUGAAAUGCGCAGAUAUCAGGAGGAACACCGAUGGCGAAGGCAGGUCUCUGGGCAGUAACUGACGCUGAGGAGCGAAAGCGUGGGGAGCGAACAGG
rnacentral:rRNA from 1 species